GAAUAUUGGACAAUGGGCGCAAGCCUGAUCCAGCAAUGCCGCGUGAGUGAUGAAGGCCUUCGGGUUGUAAAGCUCUUUCGCACGCGACGAUGAUGACGGUAGCGUGAGAAGAAGCCCCGGCUAACGUCGUGCCAGCAGCCGCGGUAAUACGAAGGGGGCUAGCGUUGUUCGGGAUUACUGGGCGUAAAGGGCGCGUAGGCGGUGUGUCAAGUCAGGCGUGAAAGCCCCGGGCUCAACCUGGGAACCGCGCUUGAGACUGGCACGCUAGAGUUCGGGAGAGGAUGGUGGAAUUCCCAGUGUAGAGGUGAAAUUCGUAGAUAUUGGGAAGAACACCGAUGGCGAAGGCAGCCAUCUGGACCGACACUGACGCUGAGGCGCGAAAGCGUGGGGAGCAAACAGGA
rnacentral:rRNA from 1 species